rnacentral:ncRNA from 2 species
AUGAAGAUUCCGGGAGAGACCGUCUGUCACAGACGGCGCCGAAGGGGAACGCAAAAACUCUCAGGCAAAAAAACCGGGAUCCGACG